UACGGAGGAGCCAAGCGUUGUCCGGAUUGACUGGGCGUAAAGCGCACGCAGGCGGUUGCGCGCGUGGGGUGUGAAAUCUGGCCGCUUAACGGCCAGGCGCCAUCCCAUACGGCGCGACUGGAGUGAUGCAGAGGUCGAUGGAAUUGCCGGUGUAGUGGUGAAAUGCGUAGAGAUCGGCAGGAACACCCAGGGGGAAACCAGUCGACUGGGCAUCUACUGACGCUGAGGUGCGAGAGCGUGGGGAGCGAACCGG
rnacentral:rRNA from 1 species